CUCAGUAGUGCGUGAUAGUCAACUGCCUUCACAAUUAUUUUGACCAAAAGCCCAGCCACUCAUAUGCACAAUGCCACUUUCUCUCAGGGGUAUCAACCCCCCCGACCCAUCAAAUUAGGCCAUAACAUCAUAGUUAUUCGCUCCCUCACUGGAGCACGGUAGUCAAUUGCCUUCACAACUAUUUCGGCUAAAAGCUCGACCACUCACACACACAAUACCUCUUUCUUUCCUAUACUCCUCCAUAUUCUAUUUCCUCUACGGAUUUACUACAGGUCAGGAUCUACUCUCGUUAUCCCUGGUUUUCAGGUGAUGAUUCUUCUAUUUCUUCUUUUGUGAAAUCCUCAUUUCCAUACCGAUUUGAAAUCUCACUUCU
rnacentral:lncRNA from 1 species